rnacentral:ncRNA from 1 species
UGAAACGCGACGAACGGGAACAGUAGCGGGAAGAACCUGUACAGAGAGCUGCGGGAAGGUGCAACGCAGUCAGGGACGCUGGCGAACCUCACCCGGGAGCGGCAGGGCCGAAGCGCCGGUGCAGUUUGCAUCCACGCCAGUAAGCUCUACGGGGGCCUCCGUGAUCAGGCUUCAAGCGGGCAGCUUGCUUCUCUUAUGAGGGGGCUGUCAACAAGAGUGGUACCGCGAUAGGUCAGCCUGUCGUCUCUUAU